rnacentral:rRNA from 1 species
CAAUAGCGUAUAUUAAAGCUGUUGCGGUUAAAAAGCUCGUAGUUGGAUUUCUGUCAAGGACAACUGGUCCGCCCCUCGGGUGAGCACAUAGUUUGGUCUUGGCAUCUUGUUGGAAACUGUUGCUGCACUUGGUUGUGUGGCGCAGUGUCCAGCACUUUCACUUUGAGGAAAUUGGAGUGUUUCAAGCAGGCACAUGCCUUUGGACACAGUAGCAUGGAAUAAUUAGAUUGGGCUUUUGCUCCAACUUGUCGGUUUCUGGAGCUGAGGUGAGAAUUAAUGGGGAUUGUUGGGGGCAUCCGAAUUUAGCCGUCAGAGGUGAAAUUCUUGGAUCUGCUAAAGACGGACAACUGCGAAAGCGUUUGCCCAGGAUGUUUCCAUUGA